rnacentral:rRNA from 1 species
UACGUAGGGUGCAAGCGUUGUCCGGAAUUAUUGGGCGUAAAGAGCUCGUAGGCGGUCUGUCGCGUCGGCUGUGGAAUCCCGAGGCUCAACCUCGGGUCUGCAGUCGAUACGGGCAAACUGGAGUACUGCAGGGGAGACUGGAAUUCCUGGUGUAGCGGUGAAAUGCGCAGAUAUCAGGAGGAACACCGGUGGCGAAGGCGGGUCUCUGGGCAGUAACUGACGCUGAGGAGCGAAAGCGUGGGGAGCGAACAGG